rfam:Brome mosaic virus mRNA for coat protein
GAGCCCCUGACUGGGUUAAAGUCACA